rnacentral:rRNA from 1 species
AUGCAUGCUCCAGGACCGGCAACACUCCACGUCGUCAGCGAAGAUCCGAAUCCCGCCCCAAGCAAAUCAGCGCACGCCUGUAUUAUUCAUCCCCAUCCACCUCUGCUGCUCUACAAAGAACCUCUCGGCCGCGGCCUCUCGGAGCCCCGAAGGCCACUCUGUCUCGCGCUCUUCUCUCUCUGCCCCUCUGGUUCCCAACCAAGAAAGAGCGACGACGGCGACACGCCUAGGUAG